rnacentral:rRNA from 1 species
GACGAACGCUGGCGGCGUGCUUAACACAUGCAAGUCGAACGGAAAGGCCCUGCUUUUGUGGGGUGCUCGAGUGGCGAACGGGUGAGUAACACGUGAGUAACCUGCCCUUGACUUUGGGAUAACUUCAGGAAACUGGGGCUAAUACCGGAUAGGAGCUCCUGCUGCAUGGUGGGGGUUGGAAAGUUUCGGCGGUUGGGGAUGGACUCGCGGCUUAUCAGCUUGUUGGUGGGGUAGUGGCUUACCAAGGCUUUGACGGGUAGCCGGCCUGAGAGGGUGACCGGGCACAUUGGGACUGAGAUAGGGCCCAGACUCCUACGGGAGGCAGCAGUGGGGAAUAUUGCACGAUGGGCGGAAGCCUGAUGCAGCAACGCCGCGUGCGGGAUGACGGCCUUCGGGUUGUAAACCGCUUUCGCCUGUGACGAAGAGUGAGUGACGGUAAUGGGUAAAGAAGCCCCGGCUAACUACGUG